rnacentral:tRNA from 1 species
GGGGUUGUGGCUCAAUGGUAGAGCACUUGCCUAGCAUGUGCAAGGCAUUGGGUUCAAUUCUCAGCACCA